rnacentral:lncRNA from 1 species
CUCUAGACUGCUACAUUCUAGAAGAGUUGAAGAAAGCACACACAUUCACACGCACAUACACUCAUCACCACCACGACCCCAAAAUAAAAGCUGAAAGACGGUGACACCACCUGGCUUGUGCAGAGUUCGAAACCGCAUCACUGUGGCUCCGUCUCCCCCGCCGUCUGCAUGGAGGGGCCCCAGGCGGCAGCCCCGACUGGCAGGGUGUUGGUUCAUCCAUCAAAGUGGAAUUCGGUCAGGGGGCAACAGGCCUGGCACGUGGCCCCUGAGAAAAUCAAAAGAUGCAGCUGGUUGCUGAGCACGACCCGCCUCGUCCCUUGCUCGGCUGGAGGAGACAAGCAAGGUUAUUGCACAUGAGUUUAGGUUUUCAUGUUCUCCAAACAUUAUGACACACCCCUAAUCGAUCAUGGUGUAUCUGUGUGUAUGCCCAGCAUGGAAAUGAGGAGUGGAUGAGAGAGGAACCAAGAGCAAGAUGGUAUUUUUUCCUUUUGAAAGCAAGUGCUUCAAAGAUUACAUAAACCUGAAGUUGCCUGAGAAUGAAGCCAAGAUGGAGAGAAACAGAGGUGUGCAGGGAACUUGGAGAACUGACACCCCCAGAGAAAGACGGAUGUGGUUCGUCACAGAGGUGUGGUCCAUGGAUGCUCCACAAUCUCCAGUUCCUACCAGGUCACAAUGUGAUGGGAACCUCGCCCUGCCACGUGGACCCUGAGACUGGAGCCCCCACCGAGGAAACCCCAGGUGAGUGGACACUUGUGCUGCACAU